rnacentral:rRNA from 1 species
UACGAAGGGUGCAAGCGUUAAUCGGAAUUACUGGGCGUAAAGCGUGCGCAGGCGGUUGUGUAAGUCAGAUGUGAGAUCCCCGGGCUCAACCUGGGAAUGGCAUUUGAGACUGCACAGCUAGAGUGUGUCAGAGGGGGGUAGAAUUCCACGUGUAGCAGUGAAAUGCGUAGAGAUGUGGAGGAAUACCGAUGGCGAAGGCAGCCCCCUGGGCUAACACUGACGCUCAUGCACGAAAGCGUGGGGAGCAAACAGG